rnacentral:lncRNA from 1 species
CUGGGGUUAUAGGUCCAUGACAAUAACAAGUAUCAAUACUGGGGUUAUAGGUCCAUGACAAUAACAAGUAUCAAUACUGGGGUUAUAGGUCCAUGACACGGUUGUCGUAUGAUGGAGACCAAGGGUGUAUCGUUCCACAUUUUAUUAUAACUGUGAAACGAUGCAAGACAUACAAAUAAACGAAUAAACAAAAACAACAAACCGUGACGAAGAGGUGCAACAUGCACUAACUCAAAAUAAUCUCCCACAAACCCAGGUGGGAAAAACAUCUACUUAAAUAUGAUCCCCAAUUAGAGACAACGAUGACCAGCUGCCUCUAAUUGGAGAUCAUCCCCCCCAAAAAAACAAACAUAGAAAAACAGAAACUAGAACAUAACAACAUAGAAAAUUUAAACUGGACAAAACCUCGU